rnacentral:snoRNA from 1 species
CCUGUUCCUAUAAGUGUUGCAGGUGUGGUUGCUGUGUCACAUGUGCAUCAGAAGGUGAUGUCUACACUUAGUGUUCUGACUAAUGAACAUCUGAAUGAUUAGUACCUUAACAUU